AAUCUUACCCGUACGGUUGCCUCGGCGCUGGCGGUCCGGAAGGCCCUCGGGCCCCCGGAUCCUCGGGUCUCCCGCUCGCGGGAGGCUGCCCGCCGGAGUGCCGAAACCAAACUCUUGAUAUUUUAUGUCUCUCUGAGUAAACUUUUAAAUAAGUCAAAACUUUCAACAACGGAUCUCUUGGUUCUGGCAUCGAUGAAGAACGCAGCGAAAUGCGAUAAGUAAUGUGAAUUGCAGAAUUCAGUGAAUCAUCGAAUCUUUGAACGCACAUUGCGCUCGCCAGUAUUCUGGCGAGCAUGCCUGUUCGAGCGUCAUUUCAACCAUCAAGCUCUGCUUGCGUUGGGGAUCCGCGUCUGACGCGGUCCCUCAAAAACAGUGGCGGGCUCGCUAGUCACACCGAGCGUAGUAACUCUACAUCGCUAUGGUCGUGCGGCGGGUUCUUGCCGUAAAACCCCCAAUUUCUAAGGUUGACCUCGGAUCAGGUAGGAAUACCCGCUGAACUUAAGCAUAUCAAUAAGCCGGAGG
rnacentral:rRNA from 1 species